UGCAGGGUUUGCUUAAGCUGUAACAUACUGCCCUGAGGAGGAGCAAAGACACCUCGAUACCGCUGCGUCCACUAGAACAACCUGGAGAAUAGCCUGGAAUUCCUCAUAGCAUGGAGACUGGGUUCCAGGAAGACAAUCCCAGUGUACAAAUGCUUAUCAACCCUCGGCUCGCAUCAUGGCUGCUGACGCGGGGCCAAAGCCAGUCUCAUGUCCGAGCUCAAAAUUAAUAUGGGAGAGAACUCCACAGGCCCCAGUACCGGGAGUGGACUCCUUGUGAACCACCGGUGUAAAGUCUAACACAGAAAAGACUUGAGAAAGUUCUUUGCACCAAACAGGCUGGUAGCUCAUGAUCACGUCUUGUGUCCUGAGGUGUGCAUCUGCUUCACAGAAUCUAUGAAUCCACUCAAGUUAUAUGCAAAGGCUGCGUGAAUAGACAUUUUUUUCGGAUGCAGCUUACAAAGAGAAGUCUGUGGUUCUUCCUUCCAUAUCCCAUCCCUCCGGCUGUAUGCAUAAGGAGGCAAUACCAGGCUGGCUGGGUUGGAGACAAUCAAUGGUGACCUUGAAGACUGCUGAGCUGCUGAGAACAUGAGUCCCUGAAUUAUUGUGUGGAUGAAAGUUGCCCCGCCAACACAUUCCCCUGUCCGGAUCAGCGUCCUCCUGUUCUAUGUCCUUUGGAUUUGCACAAGCACAGAGUGUAUGAUGUUUGCGGCAACAAGGCAGGGACAAUUUAAUGGCAUUUCCACCAGAUUGUGUGAAGACACUCCAACUGCUCUUGGCUCCUUCCCAGUUGCAUUGGCCUCCUUGCCCUCCCACAGGUGGGCUUUCAUACCCAGGGCAGAGCUGGAACACGGCCAUGACUGCUGCAGAAGAGGUCUUUCGUGGACAGACUGGUCAGACGGCACUGGAGCAUUUGUAAUGGGAGGGUUGUUUGUCUUUCCUUCAUCUUUAAGAAGGUCAGAAAAGACCCAGCUCGCUAUGUCCGGGUAAAGAGAAAUGCAAAGAUGAAACUUACCUUACAUCUCUAUACUCCUCCCUUCCCAAUGUUCACCUCGGUAUAUAAAUGGAGUCCCUAACUUUCACUCCUUAAUCCCAACACCAGGUGAUGUUCUUCCGUCUCUAGGGAACGUUUCCUUUCCUUACUUUUCUCAGAUUUACUUCCACAAAAAUCAUCCUCUCAUUCUAUAAAUGGUGCCUUUUUCUUCAUUGUUAUUAUUGCCCUUAUUCUUCAUCUCUAUCUUUGAGAAUAUUCUUUUUUCUCUCUAUAAAAAUAACAACAAAUAUCCUGA